ensembl:lncRNA
GGGCAGAAGGUGACUGACAUCCUGAAUGCAAAUAGAUCCACAGCUUCGGUUAUAUGUCCUGAUGCACACCUCGGGUCUCAACCAGAUCUCCAUGUAAACCUUUCCGCACGGAAGGAGAGCGGAGUAGAGCAGGGAGCUGCUGUGGAGGCAGACAUGAAGCCUGUCAAGCAGCAGCUGUCAGCCGGUUCUUUCUGAUGCCAUCAUCUCAUCAGCAGGCCUGUCAGUCUCCCAGACAGACAGCUAUCUAAGGUUCCACUGACAACGGCUAACAUGGGGAUGGGAGCAGAUCCACACAUCCCCCAUUUACACCAACACACAACCUUACUUCUGUACAAAGCCCUAAAGCUGAUAAACUUUUGGAAAGAUGAUAUUGAUCCAGCUGCCUCCACCUUCACUCCAGUACCCUGUGGUUUAGUUUUGGUAGGCAGUAGCAGUCGUCAAAGGAGCACGCUGAGUAUAAUAAUGAAAACGAGUCAUUUCAAGGUGUAAUAUAGUCUUUGUUGUCAUAAUAUCAAUCAGGAUGAGUUGCCGAUUAGAAUACAGCCUUUAGCAAUACAUUUGUUUGCUCUAUCAGCCAGACGCCAGAGACACGAGAGACUGAUGCUCUUUUAUUUCCUUUUGAGCGAGAGCUUGAGUGCUCCAACUGUCAAGAUCUUGUUUCUGUUUUUCUUGCCCUGUCUAAGUACUGUCUAUCAAGCAAACAUAUGGCUCUCCAUAUGCGAG